GGACGCUGAACUCAGCCAAUCAACAAGCAGCACUUACAUCUCACAAUAGACGACUCCACUAGAAGAAAGGAAGAAGGGGUCGUUAACAAAUGCAAAUGGGAAAAACAAAUUGUAAAGAUACCACAAAACUACUAACAUACACCCAUAAAUGCAGUUACUAAUUUUCUCUAUUUCAACAGAACAAUAUAUUGACCACGCCCACUUGACGCUAAUUAUGCACCUGUCACUGGUCCCUCAAUCGCCCACAGAAGGUGGGCGGGACUAAUGCAAAUCGCCCACUAGUGAUGUUGGGUGCGGUUGGUUCAUGCUGAGCAGCCGGCUAGAAGACUGAGCCCAAACAGCAUCGUCUAUUCUUCUUCAAACCUGAAUUACGACAGCUUGUAAUUCCAAGAGAAAGAACCCGAGCACAUAUUAGGGAUCGAAAUGUUAGACAAAACCAGCCAGUUCAACUCCUUCCUGUUUUGGAGGCAGCCCAUCCCAUCACUGGACCUGUCCGAGCUGGAAGACCUUGGCAUUUCUAUGCCCAAGUCCAAGGAAGCAAAGUCAACCAAGAGCUUUCCAAAACCUCCAGGACAGGAGGAGGAAGAAGAUUUGGAGUUGUCGAAGUUCUCCACAUUCAACUUCUGGAAAGAGCCCAUCGCUAGUAUUGAUAUCUUGGAUUUCAACCUGCUGUUAUAAGACACUGCAAUGCAAUUAUCAGUUCCCGCCCAAAUCUGUGUUUAAUGCCACUGUGGUUCCACCAAUUCUCUACUCCGAUCUGAUAUUGAUGAAUUGAUUACAAGAGUCGUGUAUCAUGUCUUUCUUGUGAAGCCAUGUCAGUUCAACUGUGAUAACUUGUGCUAAAACUAUUAAGGCAUUACUGAAUAUGGAUGUUAUUUACACUAUUUAGUACUUUACUGCCCUGUAAACUCUACAUGACUGCUCAAUUAGUCGUGCGCAUGAAAUAAGAUUAGGAUAUUCAGAUCCUUAAUCUGCCAAUUCAUUUCAUGGCAAUUAAAGGCAAGGGGAUUCAGAACAAAUAGUAAAUCUUAAACUGUAUAAUAUUAUUGUAUGGCAAAUGAUUUGUAAUAUUAAUGCAUAUAGUAAUUUUACUAGUUUAAACUAAAAUUUCACUUAAAGCUGUUUUUGUAUUAAACCGAGGUCAAUGUUAAAAGGCACAGCUAAUGCUUUUCACUGUUUCCCCCUUCACCACCAUGUUUGAUGACAAAUGUCAGAUGCCAAUUAAAGUGAGCUUGCUGCUAAAUGAAUAAAAAUG